rnacentral:misc_RNA from 1 species
CUUCGCUAUCGCCCUUCUUCUUUUUCUUGGUGUGGCUCCAAGCACAGUGACACACACGCACGCGCGCACACAACAGGAACGUAGCGCCUUGGAGACUGAUACGAAAAAUGGCGGCCGCCACCUUCUCGAUGGAGGGGUCCAAGUACGAGAUGAGCACCUUCUUGGGUCGCGCCCGGUACUGGAGCGAGGCGAUCAACCCUAUGCUGCUCCUCGAAAACGAGAGGACGCUUCAGAAGCACCAGAUGCUGCUCGAUCGGUGGAAGGAUGGGCAGGCCGGCAACGUGCCAAGCGCCGACCUCUGGCGCGCGCGCACGGCCGUUGAGAGCUGCAUCCACCCGACCACGCAGGAGGUCAUCCCCCCUGCCUUCCGCAUGUCAAUGUUCCUGCCCAUCAACUACUUCGUUGUCCCAUUCAUGAUGCUGCCGUCGACGGUCAUGAGCGUGGGCCGCACGGUGGCGAUCCAGUGGUUCAACCAGAGCUACAACAGUGCUGUCAACUACGCCAACCGCUCGUCCGACAAGCAGCCAGUUUCGGAGAUCCUGAAGGCGUACACGGCGGCGGUCGUCGUGGCGUGCGGCGGCAGCCUGCUGGCUACCAUGUGGCUGAAGCGCAUCCCGAGCGGCACGGCCACCUCGACGCUGAUCCGCGCGACGGUGCCUUUCCUCGCCGUCAGCUGCGCCGCAACAGUGAACUUGGCGAGCAUGCGCAAGAACGAGUGGCUCAGCAGCGGGCAGGGUAUCCGCGUCGUCGACGACGAUGGCGUCACGCGCGGCACGAGCACCGCGGCUGGGUGGGACAGUCUGAAGAAGUGCAGCGUCGCGCGCGUCAUAUGGAAUCUGCCGUGCAUGAUGCUGCCGGCGCUGAGCACGAUGCCGCUCAUGCGCAUCAGCCCCUUCGCCAGGCGCCACUCAGCGCUCACCGAGUGUCUGCUGCAAUUGUUCGGCCUCACGCUCGGCGUGCCGCUGGCGCUGGCCGCGUAUGACCUUCAUCAGGCCAUCCCAGCCUCGAAGCUGGAGCCGCGGUUCCACAACCUCAAGCGACGCGACGGCUCACCUGUGCAGACACUCAAGUACUACAAGGGGCUGUAGACGCCACUGUGUGCGUGUGUGUGGGGGGGGGGGGGGGGGAUAACGUCGGAAAGGGGGCGAUGUAGCGACAUGGAAGUCGCACGCGCACCGUCAACGAGGUCGCAGCCCAGCGAGAGUCCUGGGCUUUUGAGCAGCUUGGGUGUCCACCCCUCUGCCUGUGUACGUGUCUCUUGUGUCUGUUGUGU